rnacentral:rRNA from 1 species
GACGAACGCUGGCGGCGUGCUUAACACAUGCAAGUCGAACGGAAAGGCCCUGCUUGCAGGGUACUCGAGUGGCGAACGGGUGAGUAACACGUGGGUGAUCUGCCCUGCACUUCGGGAUAAGCCUGGGAAACUGGGUCUAAUACCGGAUAGGAGCCAUUUUUAGUGUGAUGGUUGGAAAGUUUUUUCGGUGUAGGAUGAGCUCGCGGCCUAUCAGCUUGUUGGUGGGGUAAUGGCCUACCAAGGCGGCGACGGGUAGCCGGCCUGAGAGGGUGGACGGCCACAUUGGGACUGGGAUACGGCCCAGACUCCUACGGGAGGCAGCAGUGGGGAAUAGUGCACAAUGGGCGCAAGCCUGAUGCAGCGACGCCGCGUGGGGGAUGACGGCCUUCGGGUUGUAAACUCCUUUCGCUAGGGACGAAGCUUUUUGUGACGGUACCUAGAUAAGAAGCACCGGCUAACUACGUG